rnacentral:rRNA from 1 species
UACGGAGGAUCCGAGCGUUAUCCGGAUUUAUUGGGUUUAAGGGUGCGUAGGCGGCCAGUUAAGUCAGGGGUGAAAUACGGUGGCUCAACCAUCGCAGUGCCUUUGAUACUGACGGGCUUGAAUCCAUUUGAAGUGGGCGGAAUAAGACAAGUAGCGGUGAAAUGCAUAGAUAUGUCUUAGAACUCCGAUUGCGAAGGCAGCUCACUAAGCUGGUAUUGACGCUGAUGCACGAAAGCGUGGGGAUCGAACAGG